AUUUGUAGUAAAAUAUGAACAAUUGUAUACAUAGGGAAGACGUAUGCAUUCAAUGGUGUGUGUGAUAGCUGGUUGUACCGAGUGAUCAUCAGAGCAUGCCAUCAUUGUUCAGUCGCAAAAAAAGAAAAGAAACAAAAGCAUAAAAAUAACUAAAAUUGACAACAAAAUUAGUAUAGGUUCAACUAAAAAUCGUCUAUACCAGAAGAUGUGUGUAUCAUAUAAGAGAGAUAGAAAGAGUGAUUAGGCUACGGACUUCUCCACCGAGCGAUUGAAAAACCAACGUGCACUGACGCCCGUGUCCUUCACGAUGUCCAGAUCUCCUAUACGGCUAUACCUCAAAAGACAUCUCUCAAGCAUAAGGAGACGCUAAGAAACACUGGGAAAACACAACAGUCAAAUUGGUUAUUCAGCACACACAUAAGGUGUCCCAACAUAUAUACUUUUCAUAUAUGUGGGUCGAACCUUCACAUCAUAAACUAUAAAUUUAACUAUUGAUAAAAUGCACUCAUAGACAAAUAUAAGAGAUGUCAAUACAGAAAACAACCUUAGUGCCUUUGGAUGGAUUCUCUUGUAGUCUCUUCUCGGGAAUGGAAACCUAGAACAAAUUAGUACACGAUCAUCCCAAAAACAAGGAAUGGGAAGGAGUUGGGAUGGGCAGCUGAAAAGGGACUCACCAGCAUCAACCACAGCCAUGUAUGGGUUUUGAUAGGCAAAGAAGACAGGGGAUCCAGGAGAAGAAGGAGGUGGAACCGUGGAAGUCAAUCGGAAAAG
rnacentral:lncRNA from 1 species